GCGACCGUGGCGGAAUUGGUAGACGCGCUAGUUUCAGGUACUAGUGUCUGUACGGACGUGUAGGUUCAAGUCCUACCGGUCGCA
rnacentral:tRNA from 1 species